CUGGGGUGGGGGGCGUUAAAGCAGAGUUGUCCCCCUCAUAAAACAAAACAAAAACACGUUAAAAGGACGCCCGUAGAUGUCUCUGCACGAUGACUCUUGAGAGCGUCUUCAUGGCGCACGCCGCUCUCUCGCUCCGACGGCACUGACGUCAGCCGCGACACAACAAUGGGUUCAAAGGCCACAUACGGCGAUGGGGAGAAGAGGAUCCACGCAAAGCCACGGCUGCUGUCAUUGCCAUUGUGUCAGUCGCUCGGCUGGACCGCCAUCCCUUUAUUUAUUCGUUUAAAACCAAGCAAACGUUGUUGUUUGAUCAUUCAAAGCCAGCAUUCAGUUGUAUUGUAUCCUUGAGCAGUUAUUCAAUAUCAUUCAAAUCCAGUUUUAUGUA